rnacentral:rRNA from 1 species
CUACGGGGGGCUCCAGUGGGGAAUAUUGGACAAUGGGGGAAACCCUGAUCCAGCAAUGCCGCGUGUGUGAAGAAGGCCUGCGGGUUGUAAAGCACUUUCGGUUGGGAGGACUGCUUCUAGCACUAAUAUUGUUGGAAGUUGACGUUACCUUCAGAAGAAGCACCGGCUAACUCCGUGCCAGCAGCCGCGGUAUACGAGGGUGAAGCGUUAAUCGGAAUUACUGGGCGUAAAGCGCGCGUAGGCGGCUAGAUCAGUCGGGUGUGAAAGCCCCGGGCUUAACCUGGGAACUGCAUCCGAUACUGUCUAGCUUGAGUACAGGAGAGGAGAGUGGAAUUCCACAUGUAGCGGUGAAAUGCGUAGAUAUGUGGAGGAACACCAAUGGCGAAGGCAGCUCUCUGGCCUGAUACUGACGCUGAGGUGCGAAAGCGUGGGGAGCAAACAGGAUUAGAUACCCGUGUAGUC